rfam:Phlebia centrifuga strain FBCC195 PHLCENscaffold_2632, whole genome shotgun sequence.
GGCGAAAUGGCCGAGCGGUCUAAGGCGCUAGAAUCAGGUCUGUUUGAUAAGAAUCUAGUCCGAAAGGGCGUGGGUUCGAAUCCCACUUUCGUCA